GAGGAAAGCUGGCGGCGUGCCUAAUACAUGCAAGUCGAGCGAACAGACGAGGAGCUUGCUCCUCUGACGUUAGCGGCGGACGGGUAAGUAACACGUGGAUAACCUACCUAUAAGACUGGGAUAACUUCGGGAAACCGGAGCUAAUACCGGAUAAUAUAUUGAACCGCAUGGUUCAAUAGUGAAAGACGGUUUUGCUGUCACUUAUAGAUGGAUCCGCGCCGCAUUAGCUAGUUGGUAAGGUAACGGCUUACCAAGGCGACGAUGCGUAGCCGACCUGAGAGGGUGAUCGGCCACACUGGAACUGAGACACGGUCCAGACUCCUACGGGAGGCAGCAGUAGGGAAUCUUCCGCAAUGGGCGAAAGCCUGACGGAGCAACGCCGCGUGAGUGAUGAAGGUCUUCGGAUCGUAAAACUCUGUUAUUAGGGAAGAACAAAUGUGUAAGUAACUAUGCACGUCUUGACGGUACCUAAUCAGAAAGCCACGGCUAACUACGUG
rnacentral:rRNA from 1 species